rnacentral:rRNA from 1 species
UUAGAUGUCCGGGGCCGCACGCGCGCUACACUGAAGGAAUCAGCGUGUGCUUCCCCUGUCCGUCAGGACUGGGUAACCCGUUGAACCUCCUUCGUGAUAGGGAUAGGGGCUUGUAACUGUUCCCCUUGAACGAGGAAUUCCCAGUAAGCGCGAGUCAUAAGCUCGUGUUGAUUACGUCCCUGCCCUUUGUACACACCGCCCGUCGCUACUACCGAUUGAAUGAUUUAGUGAGGUCUUCGGACUGGCGCUCGGAGCGGCUUCCGGGCCGGGCCGACGUGCCGGAAAGAUGACCGAACUUGAUCAUUUAGAGGAAGUAAAAGUCGUAACAAGGUUUCC